CAGCAACCCAACAAUGGUUUGUUUGAUUCAUCUGAAAAUUUCUGGGCUGAUAGAUCUUGACCUAAUGAACAUUUUUACCCCAUGUCAGAUUUGCUCUAAAUGCUUCCGUUUUUGAGAUAUAAGCCAAAAACUGCAUUUGACCCCUAUGUUCUAUUUUAAGUAACGGCGGCCAUGUUUUUUGACGGAUCAAAAAUCGAAGCCCACACUUUGUGCAGGAUAAUCUAAGGAACAAUCAUUUUAAGUUUCAUUCAAAUCCAUUCAGUAGUUUCAGAGGAGAAGAUGUUUGAAAAAUUGUUAACGACGACAGACGACGACGACGACGGACGCCAAGUGAUGAGAAAAGCUCACAUGGCCUUUUAGGC
rnacentral:lncRNA from 1 species